rnacentral:rRNA from 1 species
UACGUAGGCAGCAAGCGUUGUUCGGAGUUACUGGGCGUAAAGGGUGUGUAGGCGGUUGGAUAAGUGUGGUGUGAAAUCUCCCGGCUUAACUGGGAGGGUGCGCUACAAACUGUCUGACUAGAGUGUGGGAUGGGAGAGUGGAAUUCCUGGUGUAGCGGUGAAAUGCGUAGAUAUCAGGAGGAACACCGGUGGUGUAAACGGCUUUCUGGACCAUAACUGACGCUGAGGCACGAAAGCGUGGGUAGCAAACAGG